GCUCAACCAAAUGCCUCUGCCAGGAGAAUCUUUCAGAGUGUCCUGGAACAUUGGAAAUAGGCUUAAAGCUUAAAUGAUGAAUCAGAAGAGUUAUGCUGUAUUCUAAUGCUGCCACUAGGUGGUCCUGAAAGGAGGAGGUGCUUUGCUUCUCUUUUUCGCAGAUGUCAAUUAUGGAUCAACUUCUGAGUCACAUAGAAGAGCACCAUCAAUUGGCCAUUUCUCACCUGAUCACUGAGGAUAUAAAGUGCUUUUCCAGACUCCAGGACUCGGUUCAUUGCUAGUAUCAGGACGCCUCUCAUGUAUGGGAAGCCAGAAACAUCCCAGGAGCCUCACUGACUGCUUGGGCACAGCCCUCUGAGCAGACCUAUGAAGAAACAGAAGGAUUUGUGCCUUUUAGCGAGGAGGAUGCAGCACAUGCAGAGGCUUCAUAAAUCUGAUGAGUGCUGAAAAGAACCAUGCCCUCCAGCAAGGGGGAGCCAGGAAACAUUCUACAGGAAAGUCUGGAGUUUUGACACCUGUUGAGAGACACACCACCCACUAAAGAAAAAAAGGGUGCAGAGCUCUUCUACCCUUAGAUAAUAUGUGUUGGGAAGAAUUAACCAGAAUUGGUUUCUGCUCCUUGCAGACAGAUUAAUACACCAGGGCAAGAGGUAUGUAAUGGAUGAGUCAAACACAGGAGGCAGCAAAUCCUAGAACUUUCAACACACUCACCGGUCAUUGGCUGUUCCCCCAGACUUUCCAUUUUCUCCCUCUGUGCUUUCAUUUGAAAGAAAGUGCAGUUUUCAUGGAAGGAAAAGAAACUGGUAAGUAUGAGAUGCUAAGGAAUCUUGCAUUUAGAUUUUCAUGUCUAUCAAUACCUAAUUAUUUUAAAUAAAUGAUGUAAGAUUGCCCCACUA
rnacentral:lncRNA from 1 species